UUAGCUUGCUAAUCUGCUGACGAGUGGCGGACGGGUGAGUAAUGCUUGGGAAUCUGGCUUAUGGAGGGGGAUAACUACGGGAAACUGUAGCUAAUACCGCGUAAAAUCUUCGGAUUAAAGGGUGGGACUUUCGAGCCACCUGCCAUAAGAUGAGCCCAAGUGGGAUUAGGUAGUUGGUUAGGUAAAGGCUGACCAAGCCGACGAUCUCUAGCUGGUCUGAGAGGAUGACCAGCCACACUGGAACUGAGACACGGUCCAGACUCCUACGGGAGGCAGCAGUGGGGAAUAUUGCACAAUGGGGGGAACCCUGAUGCAGCCAUGCCGCGUGAAUGAAGAAGGCCUUCGGGUUGUAAAGUUCUUUCGGUGACAAGGAAGGUUGAUAGGUUAAUAGCCUAUCAAAUUGACGUUAAUCACAGAAGAAGCACCGGCUAACUCCGUGCCAGCAGCCGCGGUAUACGGGGGGUGCGAGCGUUAAUCGGAAUAACUGGGCGUAAAGGGCACGCAGGCGGUGACUUAAGUGAGAUGUGAAAGCCCCGAGCUUAACUUGGGAAUUGCAUUUCAUACUGGGUCGCUAGAGUACUUUAGGGAGGGGUAGAAUUCCACGUGUAGCGGUGAAAUGCGUAGAGAUGUGGAGGAAUACCGAAGGCGAAGGCAGCCCCUUGGGAAUGUACUGACGCUCAUGUGCGAAAGCGUGGGGAGCAAACAGGAUUAG
rnacentral:rRNA from 1 species